rnacentral:rRNA from 1 species
UACGGAGGAUCCUAGUGUUAUCCGGAUUUAUUGGGUUUAAAGGGAGCGUAGGCGGGAGGUCAAGUCAGCUGUGAAAUGUAUCUGCUUAACGGGUACACUGCAGUUGAAACUGGUUUUCUUGAGUGCGUAAGAGGCAGGCGGAAUUCGUUGUGUAGCGGUGAAAUGCUUAGAUAUGACGAGGAACUCCCAUUGCGAAGGCAGCUUGCUGGGUCGUUACUGACGCUGAUGCUCGAAGGUGCGGGGAUCAAACAGGAUUAGAUACCCCCGUA